UACGUAGGGUCCGAGCGUUGUCCGGAUUUAUUGGGCGUAAAGAGCUCGUAGGCGGCUCGGUAAGUCGGAUGUGAAAACUCGGGGCUCAACCCCGAGACGCCAUCCGAUACUGCUGUGGCUUGAGUCUGGUAGGGGAGAACGGAAUUCCUGGUGUAGCGGUAAAAUGCGCAGAUAUCAGGAGGAACACCGGUGGCGAAGGCGGUUCUCUGGGCCAGUACUGACGCUGAGGAGCGAAAGCGUGGGGAGCAAACAGG
rnacentral:rRNA from 1 species